UACGUAGGGUGCGAGCGGUGUCCGGAAUUAUUGGGCGUAAAGAGCUCGUAGGCGGUUUGUUGCGUCUAUCGUGAAAACUGGAGGCUUAACCUUCAGCUUGCGGUGGAUACGGGCAGACUUGAGUUUGGUAGGGGAGACUGGAAUUCCUGGUGUAGCGGUGAAAUGCGCAGAUAUCAGGAGGAACACCGGUGGCGAAGGCGGGUCUCUGGGCCGAUACUGACGCUGAGGAGCGAAAGCGUGGGGAGCGAACAGG
rnacentral:rRNA from 1 species